UACGUAGGGGGCAAGCGUUAUCCGGAUUUACUGGGUGUAAAGGGAGCGUAGACGGCAGCACAAGUCUGGAGUGAAAUCCCACGGCUCAACCGUGGAACAGCCCUUGAUACUGCGCGACUUGAAUCCGGGAGAGGGUGGCGGAAUUCCAGGUGUAGGAGUGAAAUCCGUAGAUAUCUGGAGGAACAUCAGUGGCGAAGGCGGCCACCUGGACCGGUAUUGACGCUGAGGCGCGAAAGCGUGGGGAGCAAACAGG
rnacentral:rRNA from 1 species